rnacentral:sRNA from 1 species
CGCCAUUGAAUUCGGGAAUUUCUAUUGG